rnacentral:sRNA from 1 species
AACUAGGGACCAAGUAUUCAAGCAUAUGAGCCUAUGGGGCCAUGUUCUCAUUCAAACUGUCAUGAGAAUACAAAGUCGAUUCAUCACGAUGAAAGAACCCGCCUGACACCUUCUUUUCAGACCCUCAUCCCCAAAUGCAAGUAGAAUUGAGUUUUUCUUCCCUCAUGGUUUUCAGAUCUAUCUAAUGGACUUAAAACUGGAUCUGAGAGACAUGGAGAUUCUAGCUCUUACUGGCAAGUCUAGUAGCAAUUCUACCCCCUACCUCCAGUUAGAGGAGCUACAGCAGCCAGUCUGAAGAACAGCAGAAUGCCUCUCAAGGUCUACAUAAAGGUGAGCCAACAAUACAGGCUGUGCUCUCAAACCUCCCAGACUUUUGGUGCUCUUUGGCAGCCCCAAGCAUCCAGGCCCUAUACCUGCUGAUGUCUCUCAAUGCCUCUUGGUAUAUGGGCCUUUGGCCUUAUAUCACCUGAAUGUUAACUCAGGAUUCAGAGAAGGGUUCUUCUAUAUAGACCAGCUCUGCCCCAAGUGUGGCAUCCAUCUCUGCUGUUCCUGGCCUUCACCACUUUGCCUCUAAGUCAUCAACGUUCAGCCAUCUUAUGUCCAUGAUCUGCUGGCCCCUAUAGGUGAGAGGCUUCGCCUUCCAAGGUGACUCAGAAUAGUAUAGUAAAGCUGUUACUUCUCUUCCUGGGUGUCUCUGAUUUAUAAUAUAAGGCUCUAAGAACUCUGGGGAUGACAUGGAACAAGUCUAAGAGGAAGGCUAAGGUGAGUGGGGUAGAAAAAGCUCUGACAUCUAGCCUUGAAGCCACACCACACUGAUCAGUGUUGAGAGCUUUUGGUGCCACUUCUAGGGAUAUGACAUUUGUCACUGGGAUGGGACAAGGAUGUAGGCUGAGAUAAGAGUAUUAGAAGCAGUGACCAUGGGGCUUCGUUUACUGCGUUGCCGAAUUGCUACCUUAUGCAAUCUCGUUGCUUCCUCCUUAAUUAUUACCCUGUGUGAUCCUUUUCCUUACUACUUUGCUUGAUUACUUUCUUGUGUGAUCUCCUUGUUUCCUACUUCACUUGAUCACUCUGUCUUGAUCUAAGAACUGACCGUGUGUAUUGGAUGUACCCAGAAGGGUAUAAAAGCAGGCUGGAGAGACAUAAAGCUGCUUCAGCCACUCAGCACUGGCUGGAGUCAUGUUUGUCUAAUUGCCUUUGUCCUUUUAAUCUUCACUCCCUCCCUUGGACCCUGUUGACUGAGCUGGCUUGGUCAGAUGGGUCAUGAACUAAGGCCCGCUUUGGGCUAACCGACCUGGGUUCUUAUCCUGAUGCAGGCCAGGGAUCUCCCUCCCUCCUCCAUCAACAGCAAUGCUACACCAUGCAAUUCUAGGAGGUGCUAUGCAGUGCUAGUCUAAAUGAAUUGCACAGCCUUGCAUGUUUGCAUGCUGCCCACUUUCCAAGGAAGGUGCUUCUGGAAGCCUCCAUCAGACGCUCACUCCAUAUGCCUGACUUUUGUGGUGUUUAGCCUCCCUGCCUCCCUCACAUCCCAGACACGUGAACCACAUGUUUUCUUAAUUGAGGUUGAUUGGGGUAGGUGAGGAUAUGUCUUUUGCUAGACUAUAAGUACCCUGGGAAUGACUAAGCUGAGGGGGACGAGAGGGUAGCAAGGCCCUUAAAGGGGACCAGCAACAGCAAGCAGUACUGGAGAACUUGUCUCUCUGUGCCACAGCAUCUCAUCCCUCUUGAAUGGGGCACCCUGGUGGUGGGGCCCAACAGGUGUUUUAGCAGGUCACCAGGCAACUUAGAUACACAUGAAGUUUGAAAAGCACCCAGCUCCGGAUACCUCAGGGUGUCCUUGUUAUUGCUUCUGAAUGACCAGUUUUCAUUCAACCAAUUUUGGCUGCCCACCUGGGACACCCCCUAUUGCACCUUGGUUUUAGGGGGUCAUCAGGAGCAGCACAGAAAGCUCACGUCAGGGCUGCAGGCAAACAGAGUAGCCAGGCAGCUGUAGCCUCCUCCAAGAGCAGCCUCUCCCUGGUCCUGCUAACUGGGUGGUUAAAUUAUUCAGCAACCAAUUACAGCUUAACAAUGUCCCUGUCUCCCAGCCCAGUGAUUCUCCUGGCUGCCGCCAGCCAUGGCAAACGAUUUCCAACACAAAACAGAGUAUGUUCAGGAAUUUAGCACCAGGGAGGGCCCCCACUAGGCACCCCCCAUGCUUUAUCACAGCCUGCCCACAUAACACCCCCUAUCCUAUCCCCUGAGGCAGAUAUGGGUGGAUGAAUGGGUCAGCCUCCAGACCAUCAGGAACGAACUGGGAAUCCAAACGCUGAACGGGCCUCCAUGGCUAAUCCUAACACUGAACAAUCGGAGGAGAACCAACCGAUGCCCUCCCACUUUAUCCCACGGAUGGGGAAACUGAGGCUGCUGGGUGACUUGACUCCCGCCACACCUACGGCCUACGUCUUUUGACAGUUCUUAACACACGGGACCCCACCAUAGACAUCUAAGUUCAAACAGCCAGCCCUGGAAGAGAUGGGAGACAGGGACAAGUCUUGGUCAAGAACCUUACUCCACCUCUUCACGCGCCAUGCAGGACAUGUGAGAACAUGGCGUUAGGGUGAACAAAUACCCAGGCAGGUUUAUCCUCUUCAGCACAUGUGCUGAGAGGAAAUCUAUCAGUAACCAGAAACCCACUGCCAGGUGGUUCCAAAGGGCAGAGAGAACAUGUUCUGAUGGAAGCAGCCCCCACAGGGAAGACCUCCCCCACACCGUGGGAGGAGAGUUGGGGUGGAGCAGAAGGUGUUACAAAUGCAAGAGUCACCCUUUUGGUUUUGCUCAGAGGCCCCUGGGAGGAAGGGGGCUGGAAAUGGAAUAAGUGUUCUCAGUUUUCCUCCUGUCUCUCAGAAGCCUUUACAUGGAAUUAAAGAAGGUGACAGUAAAAACGAGGCCAAGAAGAACACCAAGGAGAAAAGACUGUGCUCACUCAGACUGUGGGGGCUCAGAAGGCAGGGGGCCCUCUCCAAGUGCUCAGAUAGUGUGGGGACAGGUGGCCUUCCCCAAAGGCACAGACGGGACCAUCAGGCUCCACAAGGACCACAGAGGCAUUCAGACCUGGCCUCGCCCAUCCUGACCAGCCCUUCCUGCCUCCCAGAACCAGCCAGCUUGGCUAGUAACAUACUCUGGGUAUCUUGGGCCUGAGGCAAUACAAGUUCAUUUUGGGUCACCAUGUGUGUGUGUGUCUACUACACUUGUAGAGAAACUAUCAAGUCACCAUGCGUGCCUCCUGUUCGCACCGUCUUUCCUCUGAUCUACCCUAAGCUGAUGUCACAGAAUAAGGGAGUCUGAGAUGCACCAUGCAUCCUCCGGGUUUACAGCCGGUGCCCAGGCCCAUCGGGGCAGGCUAUGCUGUGCUACUGUAACAGUAAACGUGUCCAGGAGCUCGGAAACUGAAUGGUUCUAUGGCUCUACGCGGUUACAUGUGGGGCUUGUUUCUGAAGUCAUAAAAACACUUGAAAUUAGACAGUGGUAAUAGUGGGCUCAGCCACACGAAUGCACUGAGUCCUUGAAAGGCGUGGACUUUGUCUCCUCGGUAAGGAACACAUCAGAUCCAUCUUUCCCUCCACAGCUGCAGACACACAGGGACACUGCCUGGCACCAACCCAGUGCAGGGACACCAUCUAGAACCCUGCUGACUGUCCUGUGAGCUCUGGAGGAGAGAUGUGCCUUCCUGGAAGAGAAACUCCCACUCAGGACUCGGGAGAACCAGCCCAGUGCUCCACUCCAUAACGACAGGUACAGGUAGGGAGGUCCUGCCAAAGCCUGACAGCCUGGGGGCUGAUGACCUCUCCAAGGACGUCCAGCCGCAGGCACACACCCCAGACACCCAGAACUGAAAUCUGAGGGCUCACCUUUGCUUGUCCCUUCCCUUCCCCAUCCACAACAAGCCAGACAUCCUCUUCUUUGUCACUUCCACAUCAGGGGAGAAAAGCAUCCAGGGAAGACUUAGAGCCAAGAUGCCAUGAAGACCAGAAAAUCAAAGGACAGUUUUCAAAGAGAACAACAGAGGCCAUCACGAUAACAGCAAUACUGUGCAGCUGCAUUUGGUAAACUCCAGCCCUGCCUCAAGCAUCGAAGAUUCCCAGAAACUCAAUUCUCACCCAAGUUGGAAACGUAAGGAAGAAGAAAGGAGAGCCAUCUGUUUCUGCAUUGGAUACAAAAGAGUCUUCAGCAAAGAAAGCAACCAGGAGGAAGGGGCUUUCCAGGCUUGUCUGGCCACUCAGUUACUUGAAAGGAAGACCUUCAGAAAACUCCAGCUUCCCCCCAUGACUCAGAAAUGCUUGGCUAAUUAUCGUUUGGGGGCAUGAUGUCUGAGGAGGAAAGGCCCCUGGCUGCCUGAAGUCUGCCCAAGGCCAGGCCCCAUUGCUGGAAGCAGGGCUGUCAGUCAGCUGAUGACAUUCUGAGUUCCACCAACAGUGUCAGGGCCCAGGAGAGAAGCUUCCUGCUGGGACUGGGCAGCAGGGCUCAAAACCCACACCCCGGAGGCUGUCAGUCUGCAGCUGGGAUGGACAGCCCCUCUUAGCUUCUCUCCCAGCUUUCGUCGUCAUAAGACCUGUCCAGCCAGGUGGCCAGGCUCUGAAAGGGUGGCUGUCACUCCACUAACGCCCUGGGCUUUGCCUCAGGGAAGAGAGCCUGCUCAUCAAUUACAGAAUAAAUGACACCUCCUCCACUCACUGCCUCUCACCCAGUUCCCCACCGUAUAGACCUCCUUACCUUGGUGAAUAGAAGCAUGAAGAAGGAGGCUUUUAUCAGGUACCAACACCUUUCUACACCCAGGAAUGUGGUCUACACAUUCCCAGAAUCUUGAGGGAAAGGUCCAGGCAGAAUCUAGACACUGACCAGGCCUGAGACCAAGUGCUCGGAGACCCAUUCUGGAUCCCCACGCAGGUUAGAGCUACCUAGGGAAAGCGCGCCCCAUCAGAGCAAACCAUAAAGCUCUGACUUUGUUCUUUGCUCACACUGCACCCAUUUAGUAAAGUCUAUUCCGGGUUUGGGGAUGAAGACAUGGCUCCUCCAGGACCCACCUCUGUUCUGAGCGCUCACUCAGGCGCUCACAACCACUUGCAACUCCAGUUUCAGGAGGACCUAAGGCCUCUGAGGGCACC